GACGAACGCUGGCGGCGUGCCUAAUACAUGCAAGUUGAGCGCUGAAGGUUGGUACUUGUACCGACUGGAUGAGCAGCGAACGGGUGAGUAACGCGUGGGGAAUCUGCCUUUGAGCGGGGGACAACAUUUGGAAACGAAUGCUAAUACCGCAUAAAAACUUUAAACACAAGUUUUAAGUUUGAAAGAUGCAAUUGCAUCACUCAAAGAUGAUCCCGCGUUGUAUUAGCUAGUUGGUGAGGUAAAGGCUCACCAAGGCGAUGAUACAUAGCCGACCUGAGAGGGUGAUCGGCCACAUUGGGACUGAGACACGGCCCAAACUCCUACGGGAGGCAGCAGUAGGGAAUCUUCGGCAAUGGACGAAAGUCUGACCGAGCAACGCCGCGUGAGUGAAGAAGGGUUUCGGAUCGUAAAACUCGGUUGGUAGAGAAGAACGUUGGUGAGAGUGGAAAGCUCAUCAAGUAACGGUAACUACCCAGAAAGGGACGGCUAACUACGUG
rnacentral:rRNA from 1 species